rnacentral:rRNA from 1 species
AGAAAUUCCAAUCGAACCUGGAGAUAGCUGGUUCUCUCCGAAAUAGCUUUAGGGCUAGCCUCAAGUGAUGAUUAUUGGAGGUAGAGCACUGUUUGGACGAGGGGCCCCUCUCGGGUUACCGAAUUCAGACAAACUCCGAAUGCCAAUUAAUUUAACUUGGGAGUCAGAACAUGGGUGAUAAGGUCCGUGUUCGAAAGGGAAACAGCCCAGACCACCAGCUAAGGUCCCAAAAUAUAUGUUAAGUGGAAAAGGAUGUGGCGUUGCCCAGACAACUAGGAUGUUGGCUUAGAAGCAGCCAUCAUUUAAAGAGUGCGUAAUAGCUCACUAGUCGAGUGACACUGCGCCGAAAAUGUACCGGGGCUAAACAUAUUACCGAAGCUGUGGAUUGUCCUUUGGACAAUGGUAGGAGAGCGUUCUAAGGGCGUUGAAGCAUGAUCGUAAGGACAUGUGGAGCGCUUAGAAGUGAGAAUGCCGGUGUGAGUAGCGAAAGACGGGUGAGAAUCCCGUCCACCGAUUGACUAAGGUUUCCAGAGGAAGGCUCGUCCGCUCUGGGUUAGUCGGGUCCUAAGCUGAGGCCGACAGGCGUAGGCGAUGGAUAACAGGUUGAUAUUCCUGUACCACCUAUAAUCGUUUUAAUCGAUGGGGGGACGCAGUAGGAUAGGCGAAGCGUGCGAUUGGAUUGCACGUCUAAGCAGUAAGGCUGAGUAUUAGGCAAAUCCGGUACUCGUUAAGGCUGAGCUGUGAUGGGGAGAAGACAUUGUGUCUUCGAGUCGUUGAUUUCACACUGCCGAGAAAAGCCUCUAGAUAGAAAAUAGGUGCCCGUACCGCAAACCGACACAGGUAGUCAAGAUGAGAAUUCUAAGGUGAGCGAGCGAACUCUCGUUAAGGAACUCGGCAAAAUGACCCCGUAACUUCGGGAGAAGGGGUGCUCUUUAGGGUUAACGCCCAGAAGAGCCGCAGUGAAUAGGCCCAAGCGACUGUUUAUCAAAAACACAGGUCUCUGCUAAACCGUAAGGUGAUGUAUAGGGGCUGACGCCUGCCCGGUGCUGGAAGGUUAAGAGGAGUGGUUAGCUUCUGCGAAGCUACGAAUCGAAGCCCCAGUAAACGGCGGCCGUAACUAUAACGGUCCUAAGGUAGCGAAAUUCCUUGUCGGGUAAGUUCCGACCCGCACGAAAGGCGUAACGAUUUGGGCACUGUCUCAACGAGAGACUCGGUGAAAUCAUAGUACCUGUGAAGAUGCAGGUUACCCGCGACAGGACGGAAAGACCCCGUGGAGCUUUACUGUAGCCUGAUAUUGAAAUUCGGCACAGCUUGUACAGGAUAGGUAGGAGCCUUUGAAACGUGAGCGCUAGCUUACGUGGAGGCGCUGGUGGGAUACUACCCUAGCUGUGUUGGCUUUCUAACCCGCACCACUUAUCGUGGUGGGAGACAGUGUCAGGCGGGCAGUUUGACUGGGGCGGUCGCCUCCUAAAAGGUAACGGAGGCGCUCAAAGGUUCCCUCAGAAUGGUUGGAAAUCAUUCAUAGAGUGUAAAGGCAUAAGGGAGCUUGACUGCGAGACCUACAAGUCGAGCAGGGUCGAAAGACGGACUUAGUGAUCCGGUGGUUCCGCAUGGAAGGGCCAUCGCUCAACGGAUAAAAGCUACCCCGGGGAUAACAGGCUUAUCUCCCCCAAGAGUUCACAUCGACGGGGAGGUUUGGCACCUCGAUGUCGGCUCAUCGCAUCCUGGGGCUGUAGUCGGUCCCAAGGGUUGGGCUGUUCGCCCAUUAAAGCGGUACGCGAGCUGGGUUCAGAACGUCGUGAGACAGUUCGGUCCCUAUCCGUCGUGGGCGUAGGAAAUUUGAGAGGAGCUGUCCUUAGUACGAGAGGACCGGGAUGGACAUACCUCUGGUGUACCAGUUGUCGUGCCAACGGCAUAGCUGGGUAGCUAUGUGUGGACGGGAUAAGUGCUGAAAGCAUCUAAGCAUGAAGCCCCCCUCAAGAUGAGAUUUCCCAACUUCGGUUAUAAGAUCCCUCAAAGAUGAUGAGGUUAAUAGGUUCGAGGUGGAAGCAUGGUGACAUGUGGAGCUGACGAAUACUAAUCGAUCGAAGACUUAAUCAA